rnacentral:rRNA from 1 species
GAUGAACGCUGGCGGCGUGCCUAAUACAUGCAAGUCGAACGAAACUUCUUUAUCACCGAGUGCUUGCACUCACCGAUAAAGGGUUGAGUGGCGAACGGGUGAGUAACAUGUGGGCAACCUGCCCAAAAGAGGGGGAUAACACUUGGACACAGGUGCUAAUACCGCAUAACCAUAGUUACCGCAUGGUAACUAUGUAAAAGGUGGCUAUACUACCGCUUUUGGAUGGGCCCGCGGCGCAUUAGCUAGUUGGUAGGGUAAAGGCUUACCAAGGCAAUGAUGCGUAGCCGAAUUGAGAGGUUGAUCGGCCACAUUGGGACUGAGACACGGCCCAAACUCCUACGGGAGGCAGCAGUAGGGAAUCUUCCACAAUGGGCGAAAGCCUGAUGGAGCAACGCCGCGUGGGUGAAGAAGGUCUUCGGAUCGUAAAACCCUGUUGUUAGAGAAGAAAGUGCGUGAGAGUAACUGUUCACGUUUCGACGGUAUCUAACCAGAAAGCCACGGCUAACUACGUG